rnacentral:rRNA from 1 species
AGGAUGAACGCUAGCUACAGGCUUAACACAUGCAAGUCGAGGGGCAGCAUGGUCUUAGCUUGCUAAGGCCGAUGGCGACCGGCGCACGGGUGAGUAACACGUAUCCAACCUGCCGUCUACUCUUGGACAGCCUUCUGAAAGGAAGAUUAAUACAAGAUGGCAUCAUGAGUCCGCAUGUUCACAUGAUUAAAGGUAUUCCGGUAGACGAUGGGGAUGCGUUCCAUUAGAUAGUAGGCGGGGUAACGGCCCACCUAGUCUUCGAUGGAUAGGGGUUCUGAGAGGAAGGUCCCCCACAUUGGAACUGAGACACGGUCCAAACUCCUACGGGAGGCAGCAGUGAGGAAUAUUGGUCAAUGGGCGAGAGCCUGAACCAGCCAAGUAGCGUGAAGGAUGACUGCCCUAUGGGUUGUAAACUUCUUUUAUAAAGGAAUAAAGUCGGGUAUGGAUACCCGUUUGCAUGUACUUUAUGAAUAAGGAUCGGCUAACUCCGUGCCAGCAGCCGCGGUAAUACGGAGGAUCCGAGCGUUAUCCGGAUUUAUUGGGUUUAAAGGGAGCGUAGAUGGAUGUUUAAGUCAGUUGUGAAAGUUUGCGGCUCAACCGUAAAAUUGCAGUUGAUACUGGAUAUCUUGAGUGCAGUUGAGGCAGGCGGAAUUCGUGGUGUAGCGGUGAAAUGCUUAGAUAUCACGAAGAACUCCGAUUGCGAAGGCAGCCUGCUAAGCUGCAACUGACAUUGAGGCUCGAAAGUGUGGGUAUCAAACAGGAUUAGAUACCCUGGUAGUCCACACGGUAAACGAUGAAUACUCGCUGUUUGCGAUAUACGGCAAGCGGCCAAGCGAAAGCGUUAAGUAUUCCACCUGGGGAGUACGCCGGCAACGGUGAAACUCAAAGGAAUUGACGGGGGCCCGCACAAGCGGAGGAACAUGUGGUUUAAUUCGAUGAUACGCGAGGAACCUUACCCGGGCUUAAAUUGCAGAUGAAUUACGGUGAAAGCCGUAAGCCGCAAGGCAUCUGUGAAGGUGCUGCAUGGUUGUCGUCAGCUCGUGCCGUGAGGUGUCGGCUUAAGUGCCAUAACGAGCGCAACCCUUGUUGUCAGUUACUAACAGGUUCCGCUGAGGACUCUGACAAGACUGCCAUCGUAAGAUGUGAGGAAGGUGGGGAUGACGUCAAAUCAGCACGGCCCUUACGUCCGGGGCUACACACGUGUUACAAUGGGGGGUACAGAGGGCCGCUACCACGCGAGUGGAUGCCAAUCCCCAAAACCUCUCUCAGUUCGGACUGGAGUCUGCAACCCGACUCCACGAAGCUGGAUUCGCUAGUAAUCGCGCAUCAGCCACGGCGCGGUGAAUACGUUCCCGGGCCUUGUACACACCGCCCGUCAAGCCAUGGGAGCCGGGGGUACCUGAAGUGCGUAACCGCGAGGAGCGCCCUAGGGUAA